rnacentral:rRNA from 1 species
GACGAACGCUGGCGGCGUGCUUAACACAUGCAAGUCGAACGGAAAGGCCCUGCUUUUGUGGGGUGCUCGAGUGGCGAACGGGUGAGUAACACGUGAGUAACCUGCCCUUGACUUUGGGAUAACUUCAGGAAACUGGGGCUAAUACCGGAUAGGAGCUCCUGCUGCAUGGUGGGGGUUGGAAAGUUUCGGCGGUUGGGGAUGGACUCGCGGCUUAUCAGCUUGUUGGUGGGGUAGUGCAUUACCAAGGCUUUGACGGGUAGCCGGCCUGAGAGGGUGACCGGCCACAUUGGAACUGAGAUACGGCCCAGACUCCUACGGGAGGCAGCAGUGGGGAAUAUUGCACAAUGAGCGGAAGCCUGAUGCAGCAACGCCGCGUGCGGGAUGACGGCCUUCGGGUUGUAAACCGCGUUCGCCUGUGACGAAGCGUGAGUGACGGUAAUGGGUAAAGAAGCACCGGCUAACUACGUG